UAAUAUCUCGCCGCGGCGCGGCGAGCCAUGAGAUCUUCCCGCGGCGUCAAAUAGCAUUGCAGGUGUUUUAUGGGUCCUAUUGAGCAUGCUAUCGUUUUCAGAUGUAUCCUUAUGGUGGAAUGCAAUGACAUUUGAUUUUAAAAUGCUUGGAAUAAAAGGAGAUGUUACGUAAAGCUUGGUUUCCAACAAAAGAAAAAACCGGGCAAGGCAGACUUUCAACAUAUCAACAGCUUCCCUUACGUUGAUUCUCCAGGAGAGAGAAUGCUUCCUGAGGCACUUAGACAACUUUACUACUUUGGUGCAAUCAACAAGAAUGGGCGCAUCACUUCCCUUGGGAGUCUGAUGGUUGAAUACCCCUUGCCACCCGGCCUAGCCAGGGCCGUCAUCUACUCUGGUGCCCUCCAGUGUCACGAGUUGAUGCUGCCAAUAGCGGCCAUGCUCUCCGUGGAGAACAUCUUCAUAAGACCAGGAGAUGCCGAGAAACAGAAAGAAGCGGCCAAUUGAGGCUCACGCAACACUUGCCAAGAUGGCUGGAAGCAACAAUGACUUUGCCACACUCCUUGCCGUGUACAGACGUUAUGCUGACAGGACAAUAUCAGUGUCAAUGUUUCUAUUGAGGGAAAACCUGCCCUAACCUCACAGAUCAUCACAUUGAGACGUUUAUGUGAUUUGAUUCUUUCCCUGUGAGUCUCCCUCGUCAUGGUGCCAAAGGAACUACAUACACUUGAGAGCAGUUAAGACAGCAUCCAGCAUCCACAAACAGCUGGAAAACAUCUUGAACAGGCAACUGAAGGCAAAGUAUGAGUGGAUUAAGGAGCUGUUGCCACGGUUACACCAACUUGAUGUGUACGCCUUGAGUGGAUGUCUUGCACCCAAGAUUUCUGAUGAAACUGACAUUGUCGAAGCGGAGUUCUCUGACAGAACUGCUAUUGAACAGCCCAAAUCUGAGAAGUCAGGAGAGACGCGGGUUCAGAUCAGCAAAAGAAAUAGCGAGGACUCUGUGGCAGAGGCAAGGAAGUGCUAUUUAGAGCGCAAAAAAGCCAAACUUCAUAGAUGAUCAGAUGACUUUGCCCUGGCUGGCUCUGUAUUGAGGAGACACUUUGGGACCGAGUUGUGGGAUAAAAUUUUGCCCCAUAUAGAAUUCAACACGUCAUGAAACGAAAGGCCGAACUCCAACAUUUUGGCCGAGGAGAGUUGAUUUCCUUUGUAAAAAAAAAUGUUCAGUAUUCAUUGCAAAAACAGUGUACUGUACAUGUACUUGUCCAAAUGUUAAUUUGGAACCUAUUUUGUAAAAAAAAAAAUUACAGUAUUUCUCUGAUUCAACCCUCAUAGUUUUCAAAACAUUUUCCAAGUAGGCCUGAACGAUUCGAUGUUGUCUCUCCUAAAUGUAACUCUUAAAAACUGUUAUCGCUUACUGAUGGCUGAUACAUCAUUGUAGAGAAAAAGACAUGAAAGAAGUACAUGAAACUCUUCCCAAAGAGGCCUAACAUUCUUUUUUAUCUAUGUGAAAUUGUAUCAUACCUCUUAUCAAUGGAAUUGUUAUGCCCCUAACUGCAGUAUCACUCUGAACUACAGUUGGACCAUCCCAACUAAAGUGCUAUAGUUGAGCUAGCCCAGCUACAGCACAGAGGUCCAGAGUAAGCAAGUAGGCGCCAACAUCACUUUGUUUACAUCAACUUGUGCCUGUAGAAACAAGUUUUUACUAUUUAAUAGACAAAGUGCCAUAUUUUAGAUGAAUUAUGUCAGGUGUGAAAUGCAUAAAGUUGGAGAAGGUUGAGAAAUUUUGUACAGAGACUGGCCAACAAUAGUUGGGCAGCCCAGCUUCAGCCCAACAGAAUUAUACUAUUGGUCAAUCGUGGUUUGCCUUGUAUGCAGUCUUUCACUUGGAUUAGUAACUCGGAACUAAUGUUUUUUUCUUGUUAUAAUGUCCAGGAUGAAGAGAUUGCGUCAUUGGAACAGUGACCGAUGUAGACCGAUGGCUUCGAUGGGAAGACCAGUCAGCCCGUCAUCAUGGCAGCUGCUGUCACUGCCUUUUUCCUGUCAGUCUUUCUCCUCCCUGGUCUUUGGUUACAUCAGAGUGCAGGCGUAGUCGGGAAAGAUUCCAAACUUCUAAUUCAUGACAAUAACUGACCGCCAAGUUGGGCAAUUCGGUGAAAAGCUAUGCAAAAGAGGAAAUAUCAAAAGAGCAUAUGUCUAUUCCAAGUUGUUUUGCACUGUGUGUAGUUUCAUGUCAGACCAGUGCUGAGAGAUGAGAAAUGUGAGAAAUGAUCUUGAGGACUGAAUAUUAUUCACAAAAAUGGUUCCUCCUGGAAGUUUCUACUUUCGUGUAGACUUUUCUUCACCUCUUUAAGUACAUAAAUGUAGACGAGUUGCAUCUGCAAAGUUACAGCACCAUGUUACUUCAAUAUGCCAAAAUAAACCCACCAUUAAAAACACAUAAUACAAUUUCAAACAGAAUGAGGUAGAGAUUAAAUGGUUGCUGAAUUUUGUCCAGUCUGAGGGACCAUCUUGUCAAAAAGUAAAAUUUAUUAAGUUAGACAAAUUGUUAGAGAACGUUGCCAAAUGUUGUCAGCUAGUAUGUCAUGGGGAAUAAUAUCUACGUGUAUGA